CUCUGUGAGAUAUUCCACUGUUAAAUUAAUGCACCUCUGUUUUUUGUAUUUUACAGAAUCACUCACAGUUACUGUGCAACUAUUUCGAUGUAGAGGAUACUUGCUGGAGAACGAACGGAUGUGAGACGUACAAUGUAACCGAUGACAAAGGAACAGGCAUCACUUGCAUCUGUAACCACACAACACCAUUCGCUGUCCUGCUGAUUAGAGAGCCAAUUGCAAAAAUCCACUGGGAGAUUCUGUCAUACAUCAGCUACAUCGGCUGCAGCCUGUCCGCCUUCUUUACUGCUUUGUCUCUUGUCAUUUAUGUCUUUGGUCGGUAUGUGCACUUAAAUUCUUAUGCAUUUGCA